rnacentral:rRNA from 1 species
UACGAAGGGGGCUAGCGUUGCUCGGAAUCACUGGGCGUAAAGCGCACGUAGGCGGCUUGCUAAGUCAGGGGUGAAAUCCUGGAGCUCAACUCCAGAACUGCCUUUGAUACUGGCGAGCUUGAGUCCGGGAGAGGUGAGUGGAACUGCGAGUGUAGAGGUGAAAUUCGUAGAUAUUCGCAAGAACACCAGUGGCGAAGGCGGCUCACUGGCUCGGUACUGACGCUGAGGUGCGAAAGCGUGGGGAGCAAACAGG